rnacentral:snRNA from 1 species
AUACUUACCUGGGUCGUGCACCUGGAAUCAAGAAACCCGGGUGUACAGGAUUGCUGGUCGUCAUUGCACAGCGACGAUUGGCUUUCCUGCGAACAUCUUCGGAUGUCUCGAGACCACAAUUUUUGCUUAGGGGGAAUGGGUGGUUCGCCGCCUGUUCCCC